rnacentral:rRNA from 1 species
AGCGGCGAAAGGGGCAGUAAGGCAUGGGUAACCUACCUUGGUGACUGGGAUAGCCCUUCGAGAGAAGGGGUAAUACCGGGCGAUGUAACGGGAAGGCAUCUUCUUGUUACCAAAUGAAUUUCGCACUGAGAGGGGCCCAUGUGAUAUUAGCUAGUUGGUGAGGUAACGGCUCACCAAGGCGAAGAUGUCUAGCGGGUGUGAGAGCACGACCCGCGCCACUGGCACUGAGACACUGGCCAGACACCUACGGGUGGCUGCAGUCGAGGAUCUUCGGCAAUGAGCGCAAGCUUGACCGAGCGACGCCGCGUGUGCGAUGAAGGCCUUCGGGUUGUAAAGCACUGUCGAGAGGGAGAAAGGGAAACUUGAUCUAUCUCUGGAGGAAGCACGGGCUAAGUUCGUGCCAGCAGCCGCGGUAAGACGAACCGUGCGAACGUUGUUCGGAAUCACUGGGCUUAAAGGGCGCGUAGGCGGGCUGCCAAGUUUGGGGUGAAAUCCUCCGGCUCAACCGGAGAAUGGCCUCAAAUACUGGCGGUCUCGAGGAAGAUAGGGGCAUGCGGAACUAGGGGUGGAGCGGUGAAAUGCGUUGAUAUCCUUAGGAACUCCGGUGGCGAAGGCGGCAUGCUGGAUCUUUUCUGACGCUGAGGCGCGAAAGCUAGGGGAGCAAACGGGAUUAGAUACCCCGGUAGUCCUAGCCCUAAAC